rnacentral:rRNA from 1 species
CCUACGGGAGGCAGCAGUGGGGAAUAUUGCACAAUGGGCGCAAGCCUGAUGCAGCGACGCCGCGUGAGGGAUGACGGCCUUCGGGUUGUAAACCUCUUUCAGUAGGGAAGAAGCGUAAGUGACGGUACCUGCAGAAGAAGCGCCGGCUAACUACGUGCCAGCAGCCGCGGUAAUACGUAGGGCGCAAGCGUUAUCCGGAAUUAUUGGGCGUAAAGAGCUCGUAGGCGGUUUGUCGCGUCUGCCGUGAAAGUCCGGGGCUCAACUCCGGAUCUGCGGUGGGUACGGGCAGACUAGAGUGAUGUAGGGGAGACUGGAAUUCCUGGUGUAGCGGUGAAAUGCGCAGAUAUCAGGAGGAACACCGAUGGCGAAGGCAGGUCUCUGGGCAUUAACUGACGCUGAGGAGCGAAAGCAUGGGGAGCGAACAGGAUUAGAUACCCUGGUAGUCCAUGCCGUAAACGUUGGGCACUAGGUGUGGGGGACAUUCCACGUUUUCCGCGCCGUAGCUAACGCAUUAAGUGCCCCGCCUGGGGAGGUACGCGCGAGACGAACUACAANAGAGUAGACGCGUGAGACGUGCCGACGGACGACGACGAGGGAGAGG